CAAGGAAGCCUGAACCAUCUAGCCCAGGGAAGGCAAGGAUACAGGUGGACUGUGGAAAUGAAAUACCCUUGGACACAGAAGAGUACUUGAAGGUGAACUUGUCAUUGCUAAGGCAGAGGGAGCAAUUACAUACUCUCUCCAGUCCAAGGCUGGGAAUGAAACCUGAUUUCUCUCAGGUGAGAGAUAUCUUGUACAUGGAAAAUUAGGAGAAGAUCUUGACUUCAGCAAUACUACAGGGAACUGUGGAUCUUAUCCAAGAUACCACAUUACACUGAGUGGCCGUCUCCUUAGGUUCUUCUUGGCUCGGGACAGUUUCUCAAACUUGUUUCUGAUGACCUCGUCAGUUUUAAAGCAUAGUGAUCAGGCAUUUCGUAGAAUGCCCAUCUGUUAGACCUGGUCUCAUGUUUUUCUCAUGGUAAUGAGUAUUGGGGAGGAAGACUGCAGAGGUGAAGUGCUCUUUUUAUCUUUUCGUAUCAAGGGUACAUACUAUCACCACGACUUGUCACUAGUGAUGCUGACCUUGGUCAUCUGGCUGUGUGGUGCUUGUCAGGUUUCUCCAGGUAAUAUUACUCCUUUUUUCACCCUUUCCAUAUUGUACUCAUUGGAAGGAAAUCCCUGUGUGCAGUCCACAUUUAAGAAAUGGGGGGCUUGGGACCAGCAGUUAGCGUAAUGGCUAUGUCGCUGGACUCCCAUGUAGUCGA